rnacentral:rRNA from 1 species
CAUUAUAGAAUGAAUGAAUAUAAUUCAAAUCCUGGUGCACUCUUUGUAGACUUUUGGUCUAUGUUUAUUGCAUACUUUUAUAAUGGGUGUAGUAGUCAUCAUAAUUUUAUUUUGACAACUUUCAACAACGGAUCUCUUGGUUCUCGCAUCGAUGAAGAACGCAGCGAAAUGCGAUAAGUAAUGUGAAUUGCAGAAUUCAGUGAAUCAUCGAAUCUUUGAACGCAUCUUGCGCUCCUUGGUAUUCCGAGGAGCACGCCCGUUUGAGUGUCGUGAUCAUUCUCAAUUUCUUAUAUUAGAAAUUGGAUAAAAAUGAAGGUUGCUGGGACUUGAUUGUUUCAGCUCGUUUGAAAGACAAAAUUAGUUUUGGGUGUUGCAUGAUGAUAAUAAAAUUAUGCAUGGGACCCCCAUCAUCCUUUACUUUGACCUCAAAUCGGGUGGGACUACCCACUGAACUUAAGCAUAUCAAUAAGUGGAGGAAAAGAAACUAACAAGGAUUCCCCUAGUAACUGCGAGUGAAGUGGGAAAAGCUCAAAUUUAAAAUCUGGCAGUUUAUUUAUUUGGCUGUCCGAGUUGUAAUCUAGAGAAGCAUUAUCCGUGUCGGACCGUGUAUAAGUCUCCUGGAAUGGAGCGUCAUAGAGGGUGAGAAUCCCGUCUUUGACAUGGACCCCCCGAUGCUAUUGUGAUAUGCUCUCAAAGAGUCGAGUUGUUUGGGAAUGCAGCUCUAAAUGGGUGGUAAAUUCCAUCUAAAGCUAAAUAUUGGCGAGAGACCGAUAGUGAACAAGUACCGUGAGGGAAAGAUGAAAAGAACU